UACGGAGGGUGCAAGCGUUAUCCGGAUUCACUGGGUUUAAAGGGUGCGUAGGAGGGCAGGUAAGUCAGUGGUGAAAUCUCCGGGCUUAACUCGGAAAGGUCAACUGAUACUGUGCGACUAGAGUGCAGAAGGGGCAACUGGAAUUCUCGGUGUAGCGGUGAAAUGCGUAGAUAUCGAGAGGAACACCUGCGGCGAAGGCGGGUUGCUGGGCUGACACUGACGCUGAUGCGCGAAAGCCAGGGGAGCGAACGGG
rnacentral:rRNA from 1 species